GAUGAACGCUGGCGGCGUGCCUAAUACAUGCAAGUCGAGCGAACAGAUGAGGAGCUUGCUCCUCUGACGUUAGCGGCGGACGGGUGAGUAACACGUGGAUAACCUACCUAUAAGACUGGGAUAACUUCGGGAAACCGGAGCUAAUACCGGAUAAUAUAUUGAACCGCAUGGUUCAAUAGUGAAAGACGGUUUUGCUGUCACUUAUAGAUGGAUCCGCGCCGCAUUAGCUAGUUGGUAAGGUAACGGCUUACCAAGGCGACGAUGCGUAGCCGACCUGAGAGGGUGAUCGGCCACACUGGAACUGAGACACGGUCCAGACGCCUACGGGAGGCAGCAGUAGGGAAUCUUCCGCAAUGGGCGAAAGCUUGACGGAGCAACGCCGCGUGAGUGAUGAAGGUCUUCGGAUCGUAAAACUCUGUUAUUAGGGAAGAACAAAUGUGUAAGUAACUAUGCACGUCUUGACGGUACCUAAUCAGAAAGCCACGGCUAACUACGUG
rnacentral:rRNA from 1 species